UACGGAGGGUCCGAGCGUUAUCCGGAAUUAUUGGGUUUAAAGGGUCCGUAGGCGGGCGAUUAAGUCAGUGGUGAAAGUCUGCAGCUCAACUGUAGAAUUGCCUUUGAUACUGAUCGUCUUGAGUCAUGGUGAAGUUGGCGGAAUAUGUAGUGUAGCGGUGAAAUGCAUAGAUAUUACAUAGAACACCGAUUGCGAAGGCAGCUGACUAACCAUGUACUGACGCUGAUGGACGAAAGCGUGGGGAGCGAACAGG
rnacentral:rRNA from 1 species